CCUACGGGAGGCAGCAGUAGGGAAUCUUUCACAAUGGGCGAAAGCCUGAUGGAGCAACGCCGCGUGCAGGAUGAAGGCCUUCGGGUUGUAAACUGCUUUCAUAAGCGAGAAAUAUGAUGGUAACUUAUGAAUUAGGAUCGGCUAACUACGUGCCAGCAGCCGCGGUCAUACGUAGGAUCCGAGCAUUAUCCGGAGUGACUGGGUGUAAAGAGUUGCGUAGGUGGGAUAAUAAGUAGCUAGUGAAAUCUGGUGGCUCAACCAUUCAGACUAUUAGCUAAACUGUUAAGCUCGAGACCGUUAGGGGGAACUGGAAUUUCUAGUGUAGGAGUGAAAUCCGUAGAGAUUAGAAGGAACACCAAUAGCGUAGGCAGGUUGCUGGGACGGUUCUGACACUAAGGUGCGAAAGCGUAGGGAGCAAACGGGAUUAGAUACCCGUGUAGUC
rnacentral:rRNA from 1 species